rnacentral:rRNA from 1 species
AUUGAACGCUGGCGGCAGGCCUAACACAUGCAAGUCGAGCGGAUGAAGGGAGCUUGCUCCUGGAUUCAGCGGCGGACGGGUGAGUAAUGCCUAGGAAUCUGCCUGGUAGUGGGGGAUAACGUCCGGAAACGGGCGCUAAUACCGCAUACGUCCUGAGGGAGAAAGUGGGGGAUCUUCGGACCUCACGCUAUCAGAUGAGCCUAGGUCGGAUUAGCUAGUUGGUGGGGUAAAGGCCUACCAAGGCGACGAUCCGUAACUGGUCUGAGAGGAUGAUCAGCCACACUGGAACUGAGACACGGUCCAGACUCCUACGGGAGGCAGCAGUGGGGAAUAUUGGACAAUGGGCGAAAGCCUGACCCAGCCAUGCCGCGUGUGUGAAGAAGGUCUUCGGAUUGUAAAGCACUUUAAGUUGGGAGGAAGGGCAGUAAGUUAAUACCUUGCUGUUUUGACGUUACUAACAGAAUAAGCACCGGCUAACUUCGUG